rnacentral:pre_miRNA from 1 species
AAUCUAGCUGACAGGUGCUCACUUGUCCUCCUCCAUGCUUAGAUAAGGGAGGAGGCCAUAGUGGCAACUGUCACCAGGAUU